rnacentral:rRNA from 1 species
AGAGUUUGAUCAUGGCUCAGAUUGAACGCUGGCGGCAGGCCUAACACAUGCAAGUCGAGCGGUAGCACAGAGAGCUUGCUCUCGGGUGACGAGCGGCGGACGGGUGAGUAAUGUCUGGGAAACUGCCUGAUGGAGGGGGAUAACUACUGGAAACGGUAGCUAAUACCGCAUAACGUCGCAAGACCAAAGUGGGGGACCUUCGGGCCUCAUGCCAUCAGAUGUGCCCAGAUGGGAUUAGCUAGUAGGUGGGGUAAUGGCUCACCUAGGCGACGAUCCCUAGCUGGUCUGAGAGGAUGACCAGCCACACUGGAACUGAGACACGGUCCAGACUCCUACGGGAGGCAGCAGUGGGGAAUAUUGCACAAUGGGCGCAAGCCUGAUGCAGCCAUGCCGCGUGUGUGAAGAAGGCCUUCGGGUUGUAAAGCACUUUCAGCGGGGAGGAAGGCGGUGAGGUUAAUAACCUCAUCGAUUGACGUUACCCGCAGAAGAAGCACCGGCUAACUCCGUGCCAGCAGCCGCGGUAAUACGGAGGGUGCAAGCGUUAAUCGGAAUUACUGGGCGUAAAGCGCACGCAGGCGGUCUGUCAAGUCGGAUGUGAAAUCCCCGGGCUUAACCUGGGAACUGCAUUCGAAACUGGCAGGCUAGAGUCUUGUAGAGGGGGGUAGAAUUCCAGGUGUAGCGGUGAAAUGCGUAGAGAUCUGGAGGAAUACCGGUGGCGAAGGCGGCCCCCUGGACAAAGACUGACGCUCAGGUGCGAAAGCGUGGGGAGCAAACAGGAUUAGAUACCCUGGUAGUCCACGCCGUAAACGAUGUCGAUUUGGAGGUUGUGCCCUUGAGGCGUGGCUUCCGGAGCUAACGCGUUAAAUCGACCGCCUGGGGAGUACGGCCGCAAGGUUAAAACUCAAAUGAAUUGACGGGGGCCCGCACAAGCGGUGGAGCAUGUGGUUUAAUUCGAUGCAACGCGAAGAACCUUACCUGGUCUUGACAUCCACAGAACUUUCCAGAGAUGGAUUGGUGCCUUCGGGAACUGUGAGACAGGUGCUGCAUGGCUGUCGUCAGCUCGUGUUGUGAAAUGUUGGGUUAAGUCCCGCAACGAGCGCAACCCUUAUCCUUUGUUGCCAGCGGUUCGGCCGGGAACUCAAAGGAGACUGCCAGUGAUAAACUGGAGGAAGGUGGGGAUGACGUCAAGUCAUCAUGGCCCUUACGACCAGGGCUACACACGUGCUACAAUGGCAUAUACAAAGAGAAGCGACCUCGCGAGAGCAAGCGGACCUCAUAAAGUAUGUCGUAGUCCGGAUUGGAGUCUGCAACUCGACUCCAUGAAGUCGGAAUCGCUAGUAAUCGUAGAUCAGAAUGCUACGGUGAAUACGUUCCCGGGCCUUGUACACACCGCCCGUCACACCAUGGGAGUGGGUUGCAAAAGAAGUAGGUAGCUUAACCUUCGGGAGGGCGCUUACCACUUUGUGAUUCAUGACUGGGGUGAAGUCGUAACAAGGUAACCGUAGGGGAACCUGCGGUUGGAUCACCU